rnacentral:rRNA from 1 species
GACGAACGCUGGCGGCGUGCUUAACACAUGCAAGUCGAACGAAGAGCGAUGGAAGCUUGCUUCUAUCAAUCUUAGUGGCGCACGGGUGAGUAACGCGUAAUCAACCUGCCCUUCAGAGGGGGACAACAGUUGGAAACGACUGCUAAUACCGCAUACGAUCUAAUCUCGGCAUCGAGGAUAGAUGAACGGUGGCCUCUACAUGUAAGCUAUCACUGAAGGAGGGGAUUGCGUCUGAUUAGCUAGUUGGAGGGGUAACGGCCCACCAAGGCGAUGAUCAGUAGCCGGUCUGAGAGGAUGAACGGCCACAUUGGGACUGAGACACGGCCCAGACUCCUACGGGAGGCAGCAGUGGGGAAUCUUCCGCAAUGGACGAAAGUCUGACGGAGCAACGCCGCGUGAGUGAUGACGGCCUUCGGGUUGUAAAGCUCUGUUAAUCGGGACGAAAGGCCUUCUUGCGAAUAGUGAGAAGGAUUGACGGUACCGGAAUAGAAAGCCACGGCUAACUACGUG